rnacentral:rRNA from 1 species
GAUGAACGCUAGCUACAGGCUUAACACAUGCAAGUCGAGGGACCGGCGCACGGGUGAGUAACACGUAUCCAACCUGCCCUUUACUCGGGGAUAGCCUUUCGAAAGAAAGAUUAAUACCCGAUAUAAAGGAUGGGGAUGCGUUCCAUUAGGUUGUUGGUGAGGUAACGGCUCACCAAGCCUUCGAUGGAUAGGGGUUCGGAGAGGAAGGUCCCCCGCAUUGGAACUGAGCCACGGACCAAACUCCUACGGGGGGGAGCAGUAAGGAAUAUUGGGCAAUGGGGGCUAGCCUGAACCAGCCGAGUAGCGUAAGGGAUGAAGGCUUAUGGGUCGUAAUCUUCUUGUAUAUAAGAAUAUGUAUUAGAUGAAUAAGGAUCGGCUAACUCCGUGCCAGCAGCCGCGGUAAUUC